rnacentral:lncRNA from 1 species
CCACUUUUCUGAUGCUUUUCUGUCUUCAUUUGCAGCUGAGAAAGCCGAUGGUGGAGAAGAUGCGCAUGAGAUCGUAUCAACAGCAGCAUCGAGCAGCUCAAGUGUCUUCUGGCUCCAGAGUUCCUCAAGCAGCAGCCUGAUUCCAAGCUGGAGAAAGCAGAUAUCCUGGAGGUGAUACCCAGCAGAAGCAUCUACUUCAGCAGUUGCUGAAACAUCUGAUGGAGUUAAAGUGGCUGUUCCUCUAUCAGCUGCACUUCACAGUCACAGCAAAUGCAUUGAUUUUAUCCUGCAACGACACCUGAAGGAAAGCAAACAAGGAAAACAAGUCUAUAUUAGACACAGAGGAUGUGAACCACAUUUUAGUUCACAACAUUUCUUUCUGAUGUACAAAGACUGUUAAUCUGAGUCAGAUUUUAUAAUACACAUCUAUGUUAGGUGCAACUUAGUUUAAUUGGAUUUGAUUUUAUGAAUCCAGUUUUGUGUCCAAUCCUGGAUAUGUAUUGUGUAUUGUUGAAUACAUUUGCAUACACCUUCAGUGAAGGCGAAUUACAUUUUUAUUACACAAUGGUAAAUAUCCCACAUUGGGAACUGGUUUUGAAUAUUUUGUCAAUAUGAUAAACACUCUGUUGUCCUCAUAGGACGUUUAAUCAUAUCAUAGAAUCACAUCUAAAUGUGGUUCGGUGUUUUUUUCUGCCAUGCAAUGCAAAUAACUCACUUCUGUUGAGUGUGACUGUGUGUCAACAUGUUGUCAUAUUUUCGUUUAAUGGAAUAUUUUAACUGUUGAUUACCUUGACAUUAAGCAUUAACUCUUUCUGUUGUGCUUUACUUUUACCCCUCAUGUGGAGGAAUGUUAAUAAUGAUUUGUGGUAAAUCAUUUGUCACAUGACUUUUGUAAAGUUUAAUAACAUUUAUUUGAUGUGAAUUUCAAUAUGUGUUUAAUGUUUUUUGGAGAUCUUUUAAUGCAGAUGUUGUGAUAUGUUAUCACCAAUUUAUUUGCUUUCAUGAUGAAAUCAUGUCAUCACAAAAGAGACAAAAUAAUAAAAACAAGGUCAAAUGUACUUUCUGCUGUUGCAUUCUGUUUUGUCAUAAAAUAUAAAAUUUUGUCAGUAUUUCUUAAUAAUUCUUACACAAACUAAAUUAAAACAUUUUGUCAAAAAACUUGAUUGACAAAAAAGUUCUUCAUGGAAUAAUUGUAUGUACAGCAAGAAUUAAAAAAGAAGAAAGAAAAUCUUGGACCUUUUGUUUUCAGUAACAUUUUUUGAUUAUACUCUCUUGCACAUAUUUUCUUUAUGUGGAAAUACUCAUAAAAAAAGAGUUUCUAAAAUGUAGAAGAGGUCAGAUACUGUAUUUAUUUGAUUUUUAAAUUAGAUCCCAC